UAGGGAAUCUUCCGCAAUGGGCGAAAGCCUGACGGAGCAACGCCGCGCGAGUGAUGAAGGUCUUCGGAUCGUAAAACUCUGUUAUUAGGGAAGAACAAAUGUGUAAGUAACUAUGCACGUCUUGACGGUACCUAAUCAGAAAGCCACGGCUAACUACGUGCCAGCAGCCGCGGUAAUACGUAGGUGGCAAGCGUUAUCCGGAAUUAUUGGGCGUAAAGCGCGCGUAGGCGGUUUUUUAAGUCUGAUGUGACAGCCCACGGCUCAACCGUGGAGGGUCAUUGGAAACUGGAGAACUUGAGUGCAGAAGAGGAAAGUGGAAUUCCAUGUGUAGCGGUGAAAUGCGCAGAGAUAUGGAGGAACACCAGUGGCGAAGGCGACUUUCUGGUCUGUAUCUGACGCUGAUGUGCGAAAGCGUGGGGAUCAAACAGG
rnacentral:rRNA from 1 species